rnacentral:rRNA from 1 species
GUUUACGGCCAUGCCACCCUGAACAAGCCCAGAUAUCUGAUCUUGGAAGCUAAGCAGAGUCGGGCCUGUUUAGCACUUGGAUGGGAGACCAGCUAGGAAGAUCAGGUGCUGUAGGCG